rnacentral:rRNA from 1 species
AUUGAACGCUGGCGGCAGGCCUAACACAUGCAAGUCGAACGAGUGGCGGACGGGUGAGUAAUGUCUGGGAAACUGCCUGCUGGAGGGGGAUAACUACUGGAAACGGUAGCUAAUACCGCAUACCAUCAGAUGUGCCCAGCUGGGAUUUGCUAGUUGGUGGGGUAACGGCUCACCAAGGCGACGAUCCCUAGCUGGUCUGAGAGGAUGACCACCCACACGGGAACUGAGACACGGUCCAGACGCCUACGAGAGGCAGCAGUGGGUAAUAUUGCGCAAUGGGCGCAAGCCUUAUGCAGCCAUGCCGCGUGUAUGAUGAAGGCCUUCGGGUUGUAAAGUACUUUCAGCGGGGAGGCGUUACCCGCAGAAGAAGCACCGGCUAACUCCGUGCCAGCAGCCGCGGUAAUAC